rfam:Triticum aestivum genome assembly, contig: Triticum_aestivum_CS42_TGACv1_scaffold_031566_1BL
CAACUACUCCCUCCGUUCCAAAUUACUUGUCUUGGAUUUGUCUAGAUACGGAUGUAUCUAGACUCAUUUCAGUGCUAGAUACAUCCGUAUCUAGACAAAUCUAAGACAAGUAAUUCGGAACGGAGGGAGUAGAAC